CAUGCCCCACUUGACUUCUCAAGAAGGCUGAGAUGCCCCCAAGGAGAGAUAAAAGCUGAACCAGACAUUGUCAGCAGGUUUCCCCUAGACUGAAGAGUCUUACACCUUACCAAGAAUUCUCCCCACUGUCUGUGGCCCUCUACAACUUUUUGGUGUGUAGUCCUGCUCAAAUAAUUGCCUUUACAAGCUACUGAGAACAUACCUCAGCAAUAGCAAACAUAAUUUACAUGUCAUAUAACUCCCAAGAAAUAAUGAAUUGUAGAUUGGAAGCAAAGAUUCAUGGACUGACAGAUAACCAAGAAAUAAUUUGAACCAAACUACAGGACAUUCAGGUGGUAUUGUGACUCUUGUACCAUUUGCCUUCUUGUGAAAAUAUGACUUCCAAGAAUGAAACCUUUUCAUCCAAAAGAUUUGGGAAUAGAAGAGAUCUAUUGUCAGUCAUGAACAUACCUACUGAGUAUCAAAAAUGCUGAACUCUUGCCUUCCCUUCCAUAACUGAAAGGAGUCAUCACUUUUAGGAUGAAUCGACAUCUAGCAUAUCAAGUUUACUAUACCCAGAGGCCCUUUUUCAGCCAAUUCCUUCAAAGAACAACAAUGCUGUCCUUCAAGUUCAAGAGAAGCCAGAAGAAAUCCUUCAUCUUUUAACUAAUGUUCAGGAGGAAUCACUAGGGGAUCAGAGCCCAAACUUUCUAAGGGAAAUGAUAGGUCCAACUGCAGCAUCCAUUGAAAGAGGAGUGCUGUCCUUCAUCGAGGACAUGCAUUUCAAAGAAGAUAUUCAACAACUCAUGCUGAAAUUGAAGGAUACCUUUUCUCUUCAAGUCCAAGCAGAUCACUGGUAACUCUUCAAAUUAAUCUAGACGCACUCUUAUGCUUAUGGAUGCUCAUCAGAUCUUCAAUCAACUCUUUCCUCUUCAGGAGUGGGG